CCCCCCCAAAAAAAUGAUUAUAGUUAUAUAAGUUUCCCUCCCACUCCCUCCAUCCUCUCCACCAUCAGCAGGGGUGUUGUCAUAGCAACCCCCACCCCUCCUCUUGAACGUCAGCGGCAGGAGCUCGGAGGAUGAAGCCGCAUGCAGCUCCUGUCUCUUGUGCCUCUCACAGAGCAUCACCUGUGAUUUGACUCGUCUCACAUGCAACAGUCAGAGCUGCGGCGCCGGAUAUUAUCUGAUGACUGAUUUGACUCGCGGCUGCUGCUCAUCACAUACCAUCUAAAGACCGAGAGCAGCUGAUUCAGCAGCGUCUGCAGCAGUGAUGUCGUGGCUCUUCUUGGACUGGUUCGUGCCCCUCUACCUGCUGGUGUCUGUCCUGGUGCUGGCGGGCUUCGGAGCGUGCCUUUACUUCCUCGAGCCCGGGCUGCAGGAAGCCCACAAGUGGAGCAACAAAACAGUCCGGCAUCACCCGCUGGUGGCCAGUGUGAACUGCAUGGAUGACGAUAGCAAUGCCCUGAUAUGAUCAAGAGGGCCAUCUGGACAGCAGGGUGCUGCCAGGACACCGUGGGAUGGGAGCCAACACCUUAAAGAUGGAGAGAGAAAGAGGUGGAGGAGAGUUGCUCUGUCUAAUCAUUCCAACUUUUCUCUGAUCUCUAACAUCCUUAAUGUAGAGUUCAGGGGAAAGUGAAGCAGAGAGGAAAUGCACAAGGUGGAGGAGACUUUAUGCAGGAUGAGAUUUUGGAGGUGAAUGGGAGACAUGAUGCCCUUUAGAAAUGUGACGAUGUAAAUUCCACGCCAUCUUAUACUUGUGCCAACUUUUACAUACGUUUUGUAAUUUGACAAUCACUUUACAUGAAUCAUGAAGUUUACUUGCUAUAUUGUGCAUUUGAUAAGUGAAGGGAAUGAUAUAAGUGCAAUGAGUUUGAUGGCAGCAGGAAGGGUUUCUCACCCUCUCUCUGGUGAUGGUGGCACAGCAGCUGCUGAGAAGCAUGAGGAUUGUUAGAGCCAACAUGCCAAAAUAGUUUUAGGGGUAACUUUAUUAUAAUAAUAUGUAUUGAAUAAUUGAUGACUGAUUAUAUUCAAGGUGCCAAGAUUAUCCUGGAUGGACCAAGAUUAUAGAAAAGUACUAUUUGGCAGUGCUCAAAGUGUAUUACUUGUGUCUUCAUUGUGUUUACUUGACAGCAUGGUGAGGAAACGUUGGGUAUGUAACGACCCUCUUUUAAAUGAUCAUAUGCUUCCUUUAUUCAUGCUUAAUAAAAUGGUUAAAUCUUCAAUUA